GUUCCGCAUGGAAGGGCCAUCGCUCAACGGAUAAAAGCUACCCCGGGGAUAACAGGCUUAUCUCCCCCAAGAGUUCACAUCGACGGGGAGGUUUGGCACCUCGAUGUCGGCUCAUCGCAUCCUGGGGCUGUAGUCGGUCCCAAGGGUUGGGCUGUUCGCCCAUUAAAGCGGUACGCGAGCUGGGUUUAGAACGUCGUGAGACAGUUCGGUCCCUAUCCGUCGUGGGCGUAGGAAAUUUGAGAGGAGCUGUCCUUAGUACGAGAGGACCGGGAUGGACAUACCUCUGGUGUACCAGUUGUCGUGCCAACGGCAUAGCUGGGUAGCUAUGUAUGGAAGGGAUAAGUGCUGAAAGCAUCUAAGCAUGAAGCCCCCCUCAAGAUGAGAUUUCCCAACUUCGGUUAUAAGAUCCCUCAAAGAUGAUGAGGUUAAUAGGUUCGAGGUGGAAGCGUGGUGACACGUGGAGCUGACGAAUACUAAUCGAU
rnacentral:rRNA from 1 species